GGUGCGCGCGGUCGCUGAGUGAUGUGCCAUCUGAGGCGUGGUGGGACUCAAGUUCCAGCCCCGAGACCUUCUAAAUCACACCGGAAAGACACGCGUUGGGCUUGCGAUCUGGCCGACUGGGCGGGCCAGGGGUCGCAGUGGAGGGAAGCACUGGAAAAGUGUGAAACAGGGAGACACGGCUUCCUCGAGAAACAAACUAAGCUAACAAAUGUUUUGGAUUCUUUGUGCAGCUCGUUUUACCACGCUGUUUCAUGCAUGUUACUGUAUUUGGACACCACGGCCUCCUGAGUGGUCUCCCUCUCUGCUGCAGGCUCUGCUGUCAUCCAGAGACACUCGAUUAUCUCUGUGGGAUAAUUUAUUCGUUCGGUUAACAUACGUUACGGCGAGCUUUUUACACACGCGUGCUGUUCUAAGCACCGAAGUUACGCAGGCUUUAUAAACGUGUUCCAGAUAAAACAACAAGGACAAACGCCCCGAGGUGGGGACAGUGUGACUGGAGCAGAGGGAGAGGGGAAAAAUGGAAGGACCCGCAAUCGAAUCGAACAUAUCUGCUCUGAGGGAAGCCAUGUACAUCAUUAGCAGUUCUAUAAAGAGGAUCAUGUGGCAAGAAACUGAAACAUUCUGCCAGCAGCCCUGUGAAUGAACAUGGAAGUAGACCCUCCAGCCCUAAUCAAGUCUUCAGAGACUGGACUCUCAACCAACGACUUGACUGCAACCUCAUAAGAGACCCUGAGCCAGACCACCCAACCAGAAACUGUGAGAUAAUGUUUGUUGUAUUAAGAUGCUAAAUUUGAGGGUCAUUUGUUAUAUGAGGCAAGUAAAAGGUAAGAGACAGUGAAAAGUCAGUAGAGUCAGUAAGUUGUACAUCCCUGUAGCGGUCUAAGAUUUGUUAGAGCUCAUUGAAAGAAUGUGCUAAAAUAAGAGGUGAUGAUCUGACAGUAGGAUGCUUGAAGCUGAGUGUAUGGAGAAACUGUGGUUAUUGGUGCUGUCAAAGUCUAUGGUAUGACCAAAGAAGGGAAAGCUAAGGUAGGUUAAAGAAAAAGAUCACUGGAGAAGAAGAGGUCGUAGAAACCAAGCACCAGAGCAUUGAAUGGAUGAUCCAUGAGGAUACUGAAAUCACCAAAAAAUAUAAUAAGAAUAAUGUUGGAGAGAGCCAGGAGCAACGAUUUUCAAGGAAUUUCAGGAAAAGGCUUGGAGGUUGGUGGAUAAGUAUAGCUUGGAAAGCCAAGCAUGGUAUAGUCUGAUGACAUGAGGUUCAAAGUUAAAGGUAAGGUUAAGAAAAAGGGAGGAGGUAGUUUAGCGAUAGCACUGAGUAACUGAAUAGCAAGAAGGAAACCCAUCCUACCUCCACCCAGAGGGGCAAGGAACAAAAAACAGCUACUAUUAGGUGACUGCAAAAGUAAUUCUGGUUUUAAUUGUUGGAAUUUGCCAUUUGAU